rnacentral:tRNA from 1 species
GGAGCAGUUGGUAUCUCAGUGGUAUCUGCAUGCUUUGUGUGUAUGAUGUCCUGGGUUCAAUCCCCAGCUUCUCCC